rnacentral:rRNA from 1 species
AUUGAACGCUGGCGGCAUGCCUUACACAUGCAAGUCGAGCGGCAGCGCGGGGGCAACCCUGGCGGCGAGCGGCGAACGGGUGAGUAAUACAUCGGAACGUGUCCUGUCGUGGGGGAUAACCAGUCGAAAGAUUGGCUAAUACCGCAUGACCUCGUAAGAGAAAAGCGGGGGAUCGCAAGACCUCGCGCGAUUGGAGCGGCCGAUGUCGGAUUAGCUAGUUGGCGGGGUAAAAGCCCACCAAGGCGACGAUCCGUAGCUGGUUGGAGAGAACGACCAGCCACACUGGGACUGAGACACGGCCCAGACUCCUACGGGAGGCAGCAGUGGGGAAUUAUGGACAAUGGGGGCAACCCUGAUCCAGCCAUGCCGCGUGUGUGAAGAAGGCCUUCGGGUUGUAAAGCACUUUCGGCCGGAACGAAAUCGCGCGGGCUAAUACCCAGCGUGGAUGACGGUACCGGAAGAAGAAGCACCGGCUAACUACGUGCCAGCAGCCGCCGUAACAC